UAUAUAUAUAUAUAUAUAUAUAUAUAUAUAUAUAUAUAUAGCGCGUGCUGAAUGAGCCGUGGCACGCUGCUGCCUCGUGCACAACGUUUACAAAGAAACUUCAAGCUCGAGACACAGGUUUAACGGUUUUCUCUCAGAAAAGUAACUUACAUCCAUAUCUACUUGAGCUAACUGCAAUUUUAUGACAGAAAUACACAACAAAUACAGUCAAUUACCCGGAGAAAAAACAGCUAAACUAAAGAAAAUAACGACAUAUAUUAAAUAUAUUGUGGGUUCUUCAGCCAGCCGAGUCACGUUCUCGGGCUUGUGAUGGAGGUGUUGAUGGUGCUGACAAGUUGGAAAUACUUUGUUUACCAAGGUCCACCCGUUGUUGAAAACGUCAAACGUCGACUGGACGUUGUUCUCAAGCUAAACAUCUAUAUUUCAUCUGGUAAGAGGAGGGGCCUAUGAUGUCACUUUGCGGAGGAGGCACCCUAUUGGUCACACGACGUCCGGGGGCGUGGCGAUGUGAGCAACGCAAACAAAAAAACAGCACACCACCUAUGAUGACUAAUGCAACAGUAAUAAUCCCCAGUUGCGUUUAACUUCGGAAUUUGGACCAGAUUCUUCUCAGUACCGGUAGCCUUACAGCCCUGGGAUGUUGUCUUCACUCAGCUCAUCUUUUCACGUGUCUCAAAAUGCCCAAAGGGCUACAGAAUAUUUACUGUGCGCGGGAUUCCUCUGAGGUGGCGUAACCUGAGAGGUGCACGCUGGGAUCCUCUGUACUUUGGUACUGCUGUCUCCGGACUGAAACCUCCACCCAAACACACACAUCUCUUAGGUUCUCCCAAUUUAUUUUGACUAGCUCUCCGCCCCUCACCAUAUCCGUCUUUCUCUCUCUCUCUUGCUUUUCUCCUGGUGUCAGCUCCCACCCUCUCUGCUCCCUCACUCCACCUCUUUUCUUUUAAAAAACAAGACUCUCUGUGCAAUAACAGCCUAUGCGUCUCUGGAGACCAGCAGCCUUGUUUUCAGAAGUUUGUAGUAGGAAUGAGAAUAAUUUCUCCCAAACUAUUUCUAGUCACUUUGUUUAGUCAUCUAGAAUGUAAUGUUUACUUGGAAGAAUUCAUUCAACAUUUCAAUAUGAAUAAAUAUUAUUGCAUUGCUAGGUUAUACUUUGUUUUUCAUAAUUCCCGUAAAAUAUAAAAAAAAUUUUAAUAGACUAAAACACUAGUAAAAGAAUAGAACUUCUAAAAUAACAUUUUUUAAACGCUUCUCUUUAAAACAAAAAUUGUAGGCUAUGCCUGGGCAACUGAAUAAAACAAUAAAAAGGUUAAAACCACAAAAGCGGUUCAUAGAACCAAAACUUUCUGUGGAAAUACUAUAUGUACAGAUUGCCCAAGACUUACUGCUUACUACAACUCAUGCUCUGUGCUCCAGUGCUAAAUACUCUUCUGGUUCAUGCCCCUCCCCCGUUCUCUCUCUCUCUCUCUCUCUCUCUUUCUCUUUUUUUCAAUCACUCACUCAUACACACUCAAGUUCCCUGUAAUAACCCAACACUGCCUACAGGCUUCUGGCAGACAUAGCCUCUAGCACACAUGCUCUCCCACAUUGUAGCAGUCAGGCACAAUAUGUGUGUAAAGUGUGUAAAGUAUCACUGACUUUACAAUCAUUGUAAAGUGUAUGAUUCAUAUAUUACUUUCUUCUGGCCUAUGUGAGUAAAAACCUAUAAAACCUGUCA